GGCCACUGGAGGACAAAGGGCCCGAUUCCGGAGAUAUGGGGCUAGCCCUCAGCCAACCAGGUCCAGCUUCAUUUGCAUGCAGUCAGGCCAUUGGGUUAUGCAAAUUAGCAGACGUUGACACCCAGACCCUCGCUCCACCAAAGCAAGGCAGAGUUGAGCGGAAAGGGGCGGAGCUACGCGGGAGGGAGCCCACGGGACGAAGGUGGUGCUGAAACCCGGUUGGUGGGGUCCUGAGCCAGCUCUAGGUAGUUUGUGGAGCCUUCUGGUGCGGAGGGCUUUGCAGUGGUUCAAGUGUCCUCAGCUCUGACUGAAACAGCCUGCCAAUUGUUUUUCUGGUUGUGGACAUCUUUUGAUUGUCGUUUCGUGCCCUUUGUGUUAAGGGGCUGCUUUUUAAAUUUUACUUCCAGGGAUUAAUGCACUCCAGUCUAGCUGUUGUUAGUAAGCAUAUUUUUAAGUGUCCAGACAUGCCGGGCAAAGCUUGCUUCAGUGUUUAUAUGCAAGUUUCAGGUAAACCUGCUUAUUCCCAGUAGUAGUCUUUUGGUGCCCUGAUGGCUGGUUUGAUUUGGUUUUGGUUGGUUGUGAGAAUUUGAAACUCCAGGGAG
rnacentral:lncRNA from 1 species